UAUUUCGGCUUGUAGCUGGGCCAAAGAUUCUUAAACGUCUCUUUGGAGUUACUGAUUCUUGUUAUUGUAUUAAUGCAAGAGAGUAGUAAGAUAUGAGUGAUCAGUGCUUGUAUUGCUGAUUGAAUUCUUGAAUUAGUAAUACAUAUUCAAUUCCUUCUUUAUCCAUUUUUCUGUUUGCUUUUAAUUUCCUAACUCUAUCAGAUUGAUUGAAUUACAAGUGUUGUUGGAACCAUAGAUACCAGAUUCAUUAACCUCCUAUCGGUACCAAGAUCUGGGUCAUGCGUUCCAAUUCGCAGAAUGUUUGUAUUCCAAAUUGGUAAGGGACGCGAUCUGAGAUGUUCAAAUUGUGGCUUCGGUAAGAAAGUAAAGAUAGAAAAAAAAAAGGAGAAGAAGAAAGAGAAAGGUAGACAUAGAUGAAUAAAUCAGUAACCUGUGCAGGAGAAGAGAAAGCAGCAGUAGAAGUAGUGAUGAAAAGAAAUAAAAAUCACAGGCUGAUGCAAGAGGAAGAAGAAAGGGCGCUAGGGACAAAAUGUGGCUCUUUUGACAUUGUCCUUUCUGUGGCUACAUGAAAGAUUGGUCUUUCCUCUUUUAGUGGGUAGGUAGGACUUUGGGUUUUGAGAAAGUUUUAAUAUAUAGUAAAUAUUUUUGACUAAUUUAUUAUUGAAAAGGGAAGAGUGUUUAGAAAAUAUAAAUAUUAGUAAUUACUACUUAAAUUUUUAAAUAUUUAAAAUUAUAUUAUUUUAAUAAUUAAUCAUAAUAAUGAAAUGAUUUUUAAAUUUUGAAUGGAUGAUAUCGG
rnacentral:misc_RNA from 1 species